rnacentral:rRNA from 1 species
GAUGAACGCUGGCGGCGUGCCUAAUACAUGCAAGUCGAGCGAACAGACGAGGAACUUGCUCCUCUGACGUUAGCGGCGGACGGGUGAGUAACACGUGGAUAACCUACCUAUAAGACUGGGAUAACUUCGGGAAACCGGAGCUAAUACCGGAUAAUAUGUUGAAUCGCAUGGUUCAACAGUGAAAGACGGUCUUGCUGUCACUUAUAGAUGGAUCCGCGCCGCAUUAGCUAGUUGGUAAGGUAACGGCUUACCAAGGCAACGAUGCGUAGCCGACCUGAGAGGGUGAUCGGCCACACUGGAACUGAGACACGGUCCAGACUCCUACGGGAGGCAGCAGUAGGGAAUCUUCCGCAAUGGGCGAAAGCCUGACGGAGCAACGCCGCGUGAGUGAAGAAGGUCUUCGGAUCGUAAAACUCUGUUAUUAGGGAAGAACAAAUGUGUAAGUAACUAUGCACGUCUUGACGGUACCUAAUCAGAAAGCCACGGCUAACUACGUG